GGAUAAAUAAUUGCCUUAAAGCCUCAGCCGAACUGCCAACCACACCUUCGGAUGGGACAUUCCUCGCAGCAGCAGUGUUAGACCUCGAAUUGAAGAAAAUCCUGGAGUUGAACAUAUCUUCGGGGUUAGAAGGCAGAAAUAUGUGAACUGCUGAGAGAGGUGGGUACUUUUUGUUCUAAUUUCAGAGCUGUCCUAACCCAGUGGUGCCUGCAAGAGGUGCAUGAGGAGGGGAAUGUUGUGGGCAUGCUGCUCAGGACGCGUUUGGUGACUGGCAAUUCGGUCUCCACACCGUGUCCCUGAGCUUUGUUAUUCUGCUUUUCCGUACUAAGCUCUUGGUUGCUCUUGCCCUGGCAGAUUCUGUCUCUUUAAGUAACUAAAUCUCAUUUUUAAGCUAUUCCUGGGAAAAGGAUGUUACACAUGAGUAGAAAAAUGCAGGCAAGAAAGGCUAAUUGAAUGAAAAGAGAGAAUUAGGUUAAAAAUAGAGUACAAUCUAGUAUCACAUUUUCACUAGUGUAACCUGAA